rnacentral:rRNA from 1 species
UAAUCGCGGAUCAGAAUGCCGCGGUGAAUACGUUCCCGGGUCUUGUACACACCGCCCGUCACACCAUGGGAGUCGGAAAUGCCCGAAGUCUGUGACCCAACCUGCAAGGGAGGGAGCAGCCGAAGGCAGGUCGGAUGACUGGGGUGAAGUCGUAACAAGGUAUC